GCAGCUGUAGCUCAGAUGGAUAGAGCAGGUUCCUACUAAGUCCCGGUCGCUGGUUCAAGUCCAGCCAGCUGCU
rnacentral:tRNA from 1 species